rnacentral:rRNA from 1 species
GUGGGGAAUUUUUCGCAAUGGGGGAAACCCUGACGAAGCAACGCCGCGUGGAGGAUGAAGGCCUUCGGGUCGUAAACUCCUGUCGACCGGGACGAAAGUAGUCUGGCCCAAUACGCCAGGCUAUUGACUGUACCGGUGGAGGAAGCCACGGCUAACUCUGUGCCAGCAGCCGCGGUAAUACAGAGGUGGCAAGCGUUGUUCGGAAUUACUGGGCGUAAAGGGCGCGUAGGCGGUCCUACAAGUCCCGCGUGAAAGCCCCCGGCUCAACUGGGGAAUGGCGCGGGAAACUGUAGGGCUUGAGUUCGGGAGAGGGAAGCGGAAUUCCGGGUGUAGCGGUGAAAUGCGUAGAUAUCCGGAGGAACACCGGUGGCGAAGGCGGCUUCCUGGACCGACACUGACGCUGAGGCGCGAAAGCUAGGGGAGCAAACGGGAUUAGAAACCCGUGUAGUCC